rnacentral:rRNA from 1 species
UUAUGUGGCCAUACUAGCCUGUCAUUUCCUGAUCUCGUUAGAUCUCGGAAACUAAGCAGGUCUGGGCCUGGUUAGUAGUUGGAUGUGAGACCACUUAGAACUCCAGGUGCCACAGUGG